GCUGAUGUAGCUCAGUUGGUAGAGCAUUUGAUUCGUAAUCAAAAGGUCAGGGGUUCGAUCCCCCUCAUCAGCUCCA
rnacentral:tRNA from 1 species